rnacentral:rRNA from 1 species
AGCUCCAAUAGCGUAUAUUAAAGUUGUUGCAGUUAAAAGGCUCGUAGUCGAAUUUGUAGUACUUUAGCCUCGUCCACCACAUUUACUGUGAGAAAAACAAGGUGCUCAAAGCAGGCUUUAUAGCUUGAAUGCGUUAGCAUGGAAUAAUAAGAUAGGACUUUUUUUCUAUUU